CUGCGCGUGCGCGCUGGUCGCGCUGGGCCAGGGGACACGCCUUCUCCCCGCCUCUCCCGGCUCGCUCGGAGGAUGGGUCUAGGCGGAGGGUAGGCGGGCCUCCACCCAGCGCGCCCCUACCCAGAAGUGGGAGAAGCCCUGUCCACUGUUCUGCGCGCUCCCGGACCCGCAGGGCUGAGCAUCCCCCCAGGAAAGAAUGUUACUGCCCAUAUAGAUCUCCGCUGGACACAUUUCACCAUGGGAGCACUCCCUAGCAUGCUAUUAGGAUGUUGAAACAAAAGCAGAGUUUAUGCGUGCAUCAUGCAGGUAAUUGAUGGUGAAGGAAAAAAGCAGUACAAUCACCAUGUGGAUUGACUAAAGCAAAUGGAAACUUUGCAAACUACUUAACAUUGCCAUGGAGCUAUAACCAAUACCAGUUUUUCCCUGAACAAACCAAUCAAGGAAAGGUGACACACACUGCCCUCCUGAGACUCACCAACUUCCCCAGAACAACUGUUUUUGUGGCUGUCAAGCAUUUAACUAUCUUUCCUAUGGGGAAAUCCCAAACUAGGUGGGAAACUCUCCCUCUCAUCACAGAGCCAAAGAGGGGCAGACAGUCCUUCUCCCUCUGCUUCUGGGUCCCAAGGUGUGUGGACAUGGAACCCAGGCUCUGCCAACUGGAUGCCCUUGUAUCUGAAUCUUGGAGGGGGGGUGUCUAGAGAGGUAGAAGCAGAGAGUACAGUGGUGGUUACCAGGGGCUAGGGGGUGAGGGGCUUGGGGAAAUGGCCAAGGAUUACAAAAUUUCAGUUAGAUAAGAGGAAUAAAUUCAAGAAAUCUAUUGUACAACAUGGCAUCUGUGGUUAAUAAUGUAGUCUAUACUUGAAAAUCACUGAGAGUACCUUUUAAGUGUUCUUAAACUUAAAGACUGGAUAAAGGCUGGACAGACUGGAUUAAGAAAAUGUGGCACAUAUACACCAUGGAAUACUAUGCAGCCAUAAAAAAGGAUGAGUUUGUGUCCUUUGUAGGGACAUGGAUGCAGCUGGAA